UGGUAGUGUAUUGGACAACCAUGGCAAUCACGGGUAACGGAGAAUUAGGGUUCGAUUCCGGAGAGGGAGCCUGAGAAACGGCUACCACAUCUAAGGAUGGCAGCAGGCGCGAAAAUCACCCAAUCCCGAUUCGGGGAGGUAGUGACCAGAAAUAACAACCCAGGGGUUUCCCCAGGGAUUGCAAUGAGAAAAAUUUAAAAACCUUAUCGAGUAUCAACUGGAGGGCAAGUUCUGGUGCCAGCAGCCGCGGUAAUUCCAGCUCCAGUAGCGUAUAUUAAAGUUGCUGCAGUUAAAAAGCUCGUAGUUGAAGUUCUGCUUGUAAGAACGGCUUCUUUACGGAAGUCGUAGCUUCAAGCAUCAGUUUGCAACCAUCUGCACGGCCUUUACUGGUCGGCUAUGCGAGCAAACGUUUUACCUUGAGAAAAUCAGAGUGCUCCAGGCAGGCUUCAGCCGGAAUGCAUUAGCAUGGAAUAAUGGAAUAGGACUGGGGACUAUUUAUUGGCUUGAGACUCCAGUAAUGAUUAAUAGAAACAGUCGGGGCAUUAGUACUUAAUAGUCAGAGGUGAAAUUCUUGGAUUUAUUAAAGACUAACUAAUGCGAAAGCAUUUGCCAAGCAUGUUUUCAUUAAUCAAGAACGAAAGUUAAGGGAUCAAAGACGAUCAGA
rnacentral:rRNA from 1 species